rnacentral:rRNA from 1 species
AGCGAACGUUAGCGGCGGGCCUAACACAUGCAAGUCGAACGCGAAAGGUCUUCGGACUGAGUAGAGUGGCGCACGGGUGAGUAACACGUAGGUAAUCUACCCUUUGGCGGGGGAUAACGUUCCGAAAGGAGCGCUAAUACCGCAUAAGACCACGGAGUCUCCGGACGCUGUGGGAAAAGGUGGCCUCUUCUUGAAAGCUACCACCGAAGGAUGAGCCUGCGUCCCAUCAGCUAGUUGGUAAGGUAAUGGCUUACCAAGGCGAAGACGGGUAGCUGGUUUGAGAGAAUGAUCAGCCACACUGGCACUGGAACACGGGCCAGACUCCUACGGGAGGCAGCAGUGAGGAAUAUUGGGCAAUGGGCGAAAGCCUGACCCAGCCACGCCGCGUGAGUGAUGAAGGCCCUCGGGUCGUAAAGCUCUUUCAGCAGGAACGAAACGGUGGUCCCUAAUACGGACUACUAAUGACGGUACCUGAAGAAGAAGCACCGGCUAACUACGUGCCAGCAGCCGCGGUAAAG